AAAUCAUGUUGUAGGCAACGAGUCAAAAGAUCCUUAUAUCUCUCCCAAGCUUCAUAGAGUGUCUCACCAUCUUGUUGAGUAAAAGAGCCUAUGUCGUGUUGAAGCU